rnacentral:rRNA from 1 species
UACGGAGGGUGCAGGCGUUAUCCGGAUUCACUGGGUUUAAAGGGUGCGUAGGUGGGCAGGUAAGUCAGUGGUGAAAUCUCCGGGCUUAACCCGGAAACUGCCAUUGAUACUAUUUGUCUUGAAUACCGUGGAGGUCAGCGGAAUAUGUCAUGUAGCGGUGAAAUGCUUAGAUAUGACAUAGAACACCGAUAGCGAAGGCAGCUUGCUACACAAUUAUUGACACUGAGGCUCGAAAGCGUGGGGAUCAAACAGG